rnacentral:rRNA from 1 species
AAUUGACGGGGGCCCGCACAAGCGGUGGAGCAUGUGGUUUAAUUCGAAGCAACGCGAAGAACCUUACCAGGUCUUGACAUCCUUUGACCACUCUGGAGACAGAGCUUUCCCUUCGGGGACAAAGUGACAGGUGGUGCAUGGUUGUCGUCAGCUCGUGUCGUGAGAUGUUGGGUUAAGUCCCGCAACGAGCGCAACCCUUGAUUUUAGUUGCCAGCAUUUAGUUGGGCACUCUAAAGUGACUGCCGGUGCAAGCCGGAGGAAGGUGGGGAUGACGUCAAAUCAUCAUG